UUUAACACAAACAGGGCUGAAACACGCUCCCUUGCUUGCCACAUUGCGGGUGACGAGAAGGAGAGAAGAGCUGUGUUCUUUUGGGGAGCCCAGACCUAGGGUCUCCCUGAGCCAGGGCUGUGACACUCCCUUUGGGGUUCUAUGGUUCCUGGCAUCUCCAAGCUUCCAGGCGCCACCACCUUCGUUCCCUUCAUCCAAACAGCUGCCCACAGCAGAAUCCACAUGCCGUCCAUCUGGUCCAACCUCACGCAGAGCCACAACUGUGCUGGCGCCUGGAGCUGCCAGCCCCACUGCAGCAGCCGGACUGACAUUCAGACAUGGAGCAAGUUGGACUGCAUAGGGACCCACCAGUGAGAUUGACGCUGUCUGUAAAGGG
rnacentral:lncRNA from 1 species